rnacentral:rRNA from 1 species
UACGGGGGGAGCAAGCGUUGUUCGGAUUUACUGGGCGUAAAGGGCGCGUAGGCGGUCAGCACAAGUCAGUUGUGAAAUCUCCGGGCUUAACUCGGAAAGGUCAACUGAUACUGUGCGACUAGAGUGCGGAAGGGGCAACUGGAAUUCUCGGUGUAGCGGAUGAAAUGCGUAGAUAUCGAGAGGAACACCUGCGGCGAAGGCGGGUUGCUGGGCCGACACUGACGCUGAUGCGCGAAAGCCAGGGGAGCGAACGGG